AUUGAACGCUGGCGGCAGGCUUAACACAUGCAAGUCGAGCGGAGCGAGGGUGCUUGCACCUUAGCUUAGCGGCGGACGGGUGAGUAAUGCUUAGGAAUCUGCCUAUUAGUGGGGGACAACAUUCCGAAAGGAAUGCUAAUACCGCAUACGCCCUACGGGGGAAAGCAGGGGAUCUUCGGACCUUGCGCUAAUAGAUGAGCCUAAGUCGGAUUAGCUAGUUGGUGGAGUAAAGGCCUACCAAGGCGACGAUCUGUAGCGGGUCUGAGAGGAUGAUCCGCCACACUGGGACUGAGACACGGCCCAGACUCCUACGGGAGGCAGCAGUGGGGAAUAUUGGACAAUGGGCGGAAGCCUGAUCCAGCCAUGCCGCGUGUGUGGAGAAGGCCUUUUGGUUGUAAAGCACUUUAAGCGAGGAGGAGGCUACUUAGAUUAAUACUCUGGGAUAGUGGACGUUACUCGCAGAAUAAGCACCGGCUAACUCUGUGCCAGCAGCCGCCGUAA
rnacentral:rRNA from 1 species